CUCCUGUCCAAAGAUCGUAGAGGGACAAGAUAGACCACUCCUCGAAAAACGCGUAGUAUGACGUGUGUGACCGUCGACGCCAUAUUGUUAAGCAUUUAUUGGGCUGUAAUGGCGUCCUCAGCUAAAUCUACAUCUCACUGCUCCGCUAUCAACUGUUCUAAUCGUAAAUCUAAACGACCAGAGCUGUCAUUCUUUAGGUUCCCCAAUAAAAAAGAAAGAUGUCAACAGUGGGUCCAGAAUACUCAUCGACAAGAUCUCCUGCACCGAACUGCAGAGUAUUUGU